GACGAACGCUGGCGGCGUGCUUAACACAUGCAAGUCGAACGGAAAGGCCUCUUUCGGGGGGUACUCGAGUGGCGAACGGGUGAGUAACACGUGAGUAACCUGCCCUUGACUUUGGGAUAACUUCAGGAAACUGGGGCUAAUACCGGCUAGGAGCUCCUGCUGCAUGGUGGGGGUUGGAAAGUUUCGGCGGCUGGGGAUGGACUCGCGGCUUAUCAGCUUGUUGGUGGGGUAGUGGCUUACCAAGGCUUUGACGGGUAGCCGGCCUGAGAGGGUGACCGGCCACAUUGGGACUGAGAUACGGCCCAGACUCCUACGGGAGGCAGCAGUGGGGAAUAUUGCACAAUGGGUGGAAGCCUGAUGCAGCAACGCCGUGUGCGGGAUGACGGCCUUCGGGUUGUAAACCGCUUUCGCUCAUGACGAAGCUUUGUGUGACGGUAGUGGGUAAAGAAGCACCGGCUAACUACGUG
rnacentral:rRNA from 1 species